rnacentral:rRNA from 1 species
CACGUAGGAGGCGAGCGUUAUCCGGAUUUACUGGGCGUAAAGCGCGUGUAGGCGGUUUGGCAAGUUGGAUGUGAAAUCUCCUGGCUCAACUAGGAGAGGUCGUUCAAUACUGCCAGACUAGAGGACGGUAGAGGAAGGUAGAAUUCCCGGUGUAGUGGUGAAAUGCGUAGAUAUCAGGAGGAACACCGGUGGCGAAGGCGCUCAUCUGGCCCAAUACUGACGCUGAGGCGCGAAAGCUAGGGGAGCAAACGGG